rnacentral:rRNA from 1 species
AGCGCAGGCGGUUAGGUCAGUCUGAAGUGGAAGCCCGGGGCUCAACCCCGGAAGUGCUUUGGAUACUUCCUAACUUGAGUACGCGAGAGGAAAGCGGAAUUCCAGGUGUAGCGGUGAAAUGCGUAGAUAUCUGGAGGAACACCGGUGGCGAAAGCGGCUUUCUGGCGCGUUACUGACGCUGAGGCUCGAAAGCGUGGGGAGCGAACG